rnacentral:rRNA from 1 species
CCUGGUAGUCCAUGCCGUAAACGUUGGGCGCUAGGUGUGGGACUCAUUCCACGAGUUCCGUGCCGCAGCUAACGCAUUAAGCGCCCCGCCUGGGGAGUACGGCCGCAAGGCUAAAACUCAAAGGAAUUGACGGGGGCCCGCACAAGCGGCGGAGCAUGCGGAUUAAUUCGAUGCAACGCGAAGAACCUUACCAAGGCUUGACAUAUACCGGAAACAUCCAGAGAUGGGUGCCCCUUUUGGUCGGUAUACAGGUGGUGCAUGGUUGUCGUCAGCUCGUGUCGUGAGAUGUUGGGUUAAGUCCCGCAACGAGCGCAACCCUCGUUCUAUGUUGCCAGCACGUAAAGGUGGGGACUCAUAGGAGACUGCCGGGGUCAACUCGGAGGAAGGUGGGGAUGACGUCAAAUCAUCAUGCCCCUUAUGUCUUGGGCUUCACGCAUGCUACAAUGGCCGGUACAAAGGGGUGCGAUACCGCAAGGUGGAGCGAAUCCCAAAAAACCGGUCUCAGUUCGGAUUGGGGUCUGCAACUCGACCCCAUGAAGUCGGAGUCGCUAGUAAUCGCAGAUCAGCAACGCUGCGGUGAAUACGUUCCCGGGCCUUGUACACACCGCCCGUCAAGUCACGAAAGUCGGUAACACCCGAAGCCGGUGGCCCAAC